rnacentral:rRNA from 2 species
GUUUAGUUUUGGAACCUGGCUCAGGACGAACGCUGGCGGCGUGCCUAAUACAUGCAAGUCGAACGAACUCUGGUAUUGAUUGGUGCUUGCAUCAUGAUUUACAUUUGAGUGAGUGGCGAACUGGUGAGUAACACGUGGGAAACCUGCCCAGAAGCGGGGGAUAACACCUGGAAACAGAUGCUAAUACCGCAUAACAACUUGGACCGCAUGGUCCGAGCUUGAAAGAUGGCUUCGGCUAUCACUUUUGGAUGGUCCCGCGGCGUAUUAGCUAGAUGGUGGGGUAACGGCUCACCAUGGCAAUGAUACGUAGCCGACCUGAGAGGGUAAUCGGCCACAUUGGGACUGAGACACGGCCCAAACUCCUACGGGAGGCAGCAGUAGGGAAUCUUCCACAAUGGACGAAAGUCUGAUGGAGCAACGCCGCGUGAGUGAAGAAGGGUUUUCGGCUCGUAAAACUCUGUUGUUAAAGAAGAACAUAUCUGAGAGUAACUGUUCAGGUAUUGACGGUAUUUAACCAGAAAGCCACGGCUAACUACGUGCCAGCAGCCGCGGUAAUACGUAGGUGGCAAGCGUUGUCCGGAUUUAUUGGGCGUAAAGCGAGCGCAGGCGGUUUUUUAAGUCUGAUGUGAAAGCCUUCGGCUCAACCGAAGAAGUGCAUCGGAAACUGGGAAACUUGAGUGCAGAAGAGGACAGUGGAACUCCAUGUGUAGCGGUGAAAUGCGUAGAUAUAUGGAAGAACACCAGUGGCGAAGGCGGCUGUCUGGUCUGUAACUGACGCUGAGGCUCGAAAGUAUGGGUAGCAAACAGGAUUAGAUACCCUGGUAGUCCAUACCGUAAACGAUGAAUGCUAAGUGUUGGAGGGUUUCCGCCCUUCAGUGCUGCAGCUAACGCAUUAAGCAUUCCGCCUGGGGAGUACGGCCGCAAGGCUGAAACUCAAAGGAAUUGACGGGGGCCCGCACAAGCGGUGGAGCAUGUGGUUUAAUUCGAAGCUACGCGAAGAACCUUACCAGGUCUUGACAUACUAUGCAAAUCUAAGAGAUUAGACGUUCCCUUCGGGGACAUGGAUACAGGUGGUGCAUGGUUGUCGUCAGCUCGUGUCGUGAGAUGUUGGGUUAAGUCCCGCAACGAGCGCAACCCUUAUUAUCAGUUGCCAGCAUUAAGUUGGGCACUCUGGUGAGACUGCCGGUGACAAACCGGAGGAAGGUGGGGAUGACGUCAAAUCAUCAUGCCCCUUAUGACCUGGGCUACACACGUGCUACAAUGGAUGGUACAACGAGUUGCGAACUCGCGAGAGUAAGCUAAUCUCUUAAAGCCAUUCUCAGUUCGGAUUGUAGGCUGCAACUCGCCUACAUGAAGUCGGAAUCGCUAGUAAUCGCGGAUCAGCAUGCCGCGGUGAAUACGUUCCCGGGCCUUGUACACACCGCCCGUCACACCAUGAGAGUUUGUAACACCCAAAGUCGGUGGGGUAACCUUUUAGGAACCAGCCGC